AAUCCGUGUUAUGGGCAUGAACUGACAAGAUCCUUGAAUCGCUCCUAAUAUUAGAAGAAUGUUUCAUCCUCCUUCUGGGCGAAGUUCAUUAUUGACUUUCUAAGGAU